CUAAAUGCAAAGAAAGAGAGUAGUAAGAUAACCACUGCCUAAUAGGGAGGGAAUGUCAUAGACUGAAAGCAUUCCUUAGGUGAGAGUAUUUGAAUUCGCUCUGGAGCAGACGCUGGAACAUAGGAAAGUAAAUUUCUUAUUAAAGUGUUACGGAUGAAGAUUCGUUAUGAUAAUGAAGUGUAUAGGCUUCUUUUUGAUGCUUAUAAAUAAGGGUGGUACCGCGAGCCAUCGUCCCUUUC
rnacentral:ncRNA from 1 species